rnacentral:rRNA from 1 species
GACGAACGCUGGCGGCGUGCUUAACACAUGCAAGUCGAGCGGUAAGGCUCCUUCGGGAGUACACGAGCGGCGAACGGGUGAGUAACACGUGAGCAAUCUGCCCUUCACUUCGGGAUAACUCCGGGAAACCGGUGCUAAUACCGAAUACGACCACUUCAGGCAUCUGAUGGUGGUGGAAAGUUCCGGCGGUGAAGGAUGAGCUCGCGGCCUAUCAGCUUGUUGGUGAGGAAUGGCCCACCAAGGCAACGACGGGUAGCCGGCCUGAGAGGGUGACCGGCCACACUGGGACUGAGACACGGCCCAGACUCCUACGGGAGGCAGCAGUGGGGAAUAUUGGACAAUGGGCGAAAGCCUGAUCCAGCAACGCCGCGUGAGGGAUGACGGCCUGGUU